UGGGGAAUAUUGCACAAUGGAGGGAACUCUGAUGCAGCAACGCCGCGUGCGGGAUGACGGCCUUCGGGUUGUAAACCGCUUUCAGCCAUGACGAAGCUUUUGUGACGGUAGUGGUAGAAGAAGCACCGGCUAACUACGUGCCAGCAGCCGUGGUGAUACGUAGGGUGCGAGCGUUGUCCGGAAUUAUUGGGCGUAAAGAGCUUGUAGGCGGUUUGUCGCGUCGAUAGUGUAAACACGCAGCUUAACUGUGUGCCUGCUGUCGAUACGGGCUGACUAGAGGAAGGUAGGGGAGAAUGGAAUUCCCGGUGGAGCGGUGUAAUGCGCAGAUAUCGGGAGGAACACCAGUGGCGAAGGCGGUUCUCUGGACCUUUCCUGACGCUGAGAAGCGAAAGCGUGGGUAGCAAACAGG
rnacentral:rRNA from 1 species